rnacentral:ncRNA from 2 species
CCCUUUUUGGCGAAGCUGGAUACCCUGUAAGAAGGGUUUAAUAGGGAAUCACGUGCAAAUCGUGAGCUGACGCGCAACUGUAAAGCCGAUUGAAUGUUGUGCAGCGUUAUACCACUGUUACCUGAACUGGAACGGGAAGGUGCUGCAGAACCGGUAAGCCAGGAGACCUGUCCCGCUUCUUUUUUCUCA